CUACGUGCCAGCAGCCGCGGUAAUACGGAAGGUCCAGGCGUUAUCCGGAUUUAUUGGGUUUAAAGGGAGCGUAGGCUGGAGAUUAAGUGUGUUGUGAAAUGUAGACGCUCAACGUCUGAAUUGCAGCGCAUACUGGUUUCCUUGAGUACGCACAACGUUGGCGGAAUUCGUCGUGUAGCGGUGAAAUGCUUAGAUAUGACGAAGAACUCCGAUUGCGAAGGCAGCUGACGGGAGCGCAACUGACGCUUAAGCUCGAAGGUGCGGGUAUCAAACAGGAUUAGAUACCCUGGUAGUCCGCACAGUAAACGAUGAUUACUAGGUGUUGGGGGUCGAACCUCAGCGCCCAAGCUAACGCGAUAAGUAAUCCGCCUGGGGAGUACGUACGCAAGUAUGAAACUCAAAGGAAUUGACGGGGACCCGCACAAGCGGUGGAGCAUGUGGUUUAAUUCGACGCAACGCGAAGAACCUUACCAGGUCUUGACA
rnacentral:rRNA from 1 species